GUCCCGGUAGCUCAGCUGGAUAGAGCGACGGCCUCCUAAGCCGUAGGUCCCAGGUUCGACUCCUGGUCGGGACACCA
rnacentral:tRNA from 1 species